AUCCAGACUCCUACGGGAGGCAGCAGUGGGGCCUCUUGCACAAUGGGGGCAACCCUGAUGCCGCGACGCCGCGUGAGCGAUGAAGUAUUUCGGUAUGUAACGCUCUAUCAGCAGGGAAGAAGAUGACGGUACCUGACUAAGAAGCCCCGGCUAACUACGUGCCAGCAGCCGCGGUAAUACGUAGGGGGCAAGCGUUAUCCGGAUUUACUGGGUGUAAAGGGAGCGUAGACGGCGAUGCAAGCCAGAUGUGAAAGCCCGGGGCUCAACCCCGGGACUGCAUUUGGAACUGUGUGGCUGGAGUGUCGGAGAGGCAGGCGGAAUUCCUAAUGUAGCGGUGAAAUGCGGAGAUAUUAGGAGGAACACCAGUGGCGAAGGCGGCUUACUGGACUGUAACUGACGUUGAGGCUCGAAAGCGUGGGGAGCAAACAGGAUUAGAUACCCCCGUACA
rnacentral:rRNA from 1 species